GCACGCGCACACCUGGCCCUUCCCUUAUCUGAAACUGAAACAAUUCACUCUCACGGACGGACUAGUCCGCAUCGGCCAAGCUAGCAUGCGGGAUCAUGCCGCGCCACGCCCCCACCCCACCCCGCAUGGAAGCGCCGCUCACAAUCACAUAUCGUGGCGUGGGGACUGGGACUGGGGACACGGCCGCGUUGGACUUGGACCCCUACCACUCGGCACACCCACACACCUGUAUGUACAGCACGCCCACGCAUCACGUGCGACAGACACCUGUAUCAUCAUCGGUUCACCGGUGGCUGCUGCUGCUGCUGCUGGUCGCCGGCGGCGGCGCGGCCAGCGGCCAGAGUCGGGAGAAGGUGGACGAGACGGCGAUGCCGGCCAUGUUGAGCCCCUUGCUGCCGCCCCAGUCCGGCACGGGCACCCACCGCCACUCGCGCCGCGCGCGGUCGUACGACAGCCACACCAGGUCCCACGCGCCGCGGCAGUUGGAGAUGAGCACCAGCCGGACCACGCCCUCCCGCUCCGCCAGCAGACCCGUCAUCACGGCGUACGGCUUCCGGAACCCCUCCACCAGCCCGCCCGGCACGCUGGCCACCAGCUGCCAGUCGCCCCCCACGGCCCCGACCCCGUACAGCUCCACGCCCGUCACCACCUUGCCCCGGCUCCGGCUCGUCGGGUCCUCGCCCGCCGCCGCCGCCGCCGACCGCACCACGGCCGCGCUCCCGUCGCCGUACACGUGCAGCCGCUCCCCGUGUCCCGCUCCCGCGGCGCCGGCGUUCGGGAACCGGGGGCGGAAGAAGACCGGGCGCUCGUCCGUGCGCGGCCCGGCGUACACCAUCACGCAGUCCGCCCCGGCGUGCGCCGCGCAGAGGUAGGUGCCGCCGUCUCCGUCUCCGUCUGGGUCGGCCGCCUCUGCUGCCCCCUCCGCCACCAGGACCGCCUCCGACUCCUGCCACGUGUCCGUCUCCGACCGGUACUCGAAGAGGAACGGCGUGUUGUUCACCAGCUCAGCGAACAGAAACCUUGCAGGGAAAAGCAGCAACCGCCGGCGUCAGAUCGAUCGAGAAGCGACAUUGGUGGAUUCGUAUCGAGUUUUACUGUGCGUUGUCAAAAUUGUUGCUUCGGCACUGCUAAUUACUAGUCGUCUGAACAUAAAAAUUAGUGCUGGCAGCAGUGAUGACGAAUACUGUCUGUAACUGAGGAGGAGAGAGAGAAGGUCAGGGAUGCUUGCAAGUUUUUUUUUCCUUCUUUUUCUUGCGUGAGCAACACAAAGACCCUCUCCGUAAGAAAAGGACGGGUACCUAAACCGGUUCGAUCCGGGGGGAUCGGCGACGAGCUUGAGGCCGAAGCGACGCCAGGAGGAGGUGCCGCGGGGGCCGAGCGGGGACGGCGGGAGGCGGCGCGCGGCGCGCGCGGUGAGGUCGACGACGACGAGCUCGCGGCGGCCGUUGGCGGCGAACAGGAAGGAGCUGCCGGACGCGGCCAGGAAGUAGAGGUCCUCGCCGGGCGGCACGGCGGGGGCGAGGAUCGCCGAGACGGGGAUGCGGAACCAGCGGCCCGAGGGCCCGUGGAAGCCCCUGAUGGCGGCGUCGCGGGGCGGGAGCUUCUUGAAGAGGAGCAGCCACGCGGCGGCCGGCCCGGGCCCGGAGGACGCCGACGAGAGGUGGUACAGGCGGCGGAAGUCCGGCGAGGAGAUGAGGCUGGAGAGCGGCCGCGCCACGGAGCGCACGCGGAGGAGCUCCGGGACGGCCAGGCGGAGCAGGAUCUCGUGGAGGAGCUCCGACGGGAGCAGCAGCAGCGCGCCCAGGGCCGUGGCGGCCGAAGGGUGGUGGUGCUCCCCGGCGACCGGGUGGUCGCCCAUGGGGUUAGGUGAGGUUUAAUUCUGCUUGGGGAUCGGAGUAUGGCCUGGGGGGCUUCGCUUGUCUGGGAGACAGGUUUUGUGCCGCCGCCCUUUUAUACAGACCACACAUGUCCG
rnacentral:misc_RNA from 1 species